rnacentral:rRNA from 1 species
UACAGAGGUGGCAAGCGUUGUUCGGAAUUACUGGGCGUAAAGGGCGCGUAGGCGGUUCGUUAAGUCCUGUGUGAAAUCCCCCGGCUCAACUGGGGAACUGCACAGGAAACUAGCGGGCUUGAGUUCGGGAGAGGGAAGCGGAAUUCCGGGUGUAGCGGUGAAAUGCGUAGAUAUCCGGAGGAACACCGGUGGCGAAGGCAGGUCUCUGGGCCACUACUGACGCUGAGAAGCGAAAGCAUGGGGAGCGAACAGG